rnacentral:rRNA from 1 species
GAUGAACGCUGGCGGCGUGCCUAAUACAUGCAAGUCGAGCGAACAGACGAGGAGCUUGCUCCUCUGACGUUAGCGGCGGACGGGUGAGUAACACGUGGAUAACCUACCUAUAAGACUGGGAUAACUUCGGGAAACCGGAGCUAAUACCGGAUAAUAUAUUGAACCGCAUGGUUCAAUAGUGAAAGACGGUUUUGCUGUCACUUAUAGAUGGAUCCGCGCCGCAUUAGCUAGUUGGUAAGGUAACGGCUUACCAAGGCAACGAUGCGUAGCCGACCUGAGAGGGUGAUCGGCCACACUGGAACUGGGACACGGUCCAGACUCCAACGGGAGGCAGCAGUAGGGAAUCUUCCGCAAUGGGCGAAAGCCUGACGGAGCAACGCCGCGUGAGUGAUGAAGGUCUUCGGAUCGUAAAACUCUGUUAUUAGGGAAGAACAAAUGUGUAAGUAACUAUGCACGUCUUGACGGUACCUAAUCAGAAAGCCACGGCUAACUACGUG